CGGAACAUAGCUCAGCAGCGUAGAGCAGAGGCAUUUCAGCACUCGUGUCGGCGGUUCAAGCCCAUCUGUUCCGA
rnacentral:tRNA from 1 species